rnacentral:rRNA from 1 species
UACAGAGGCCACGAGCGUUAGGCGGAAUCACUGGGCUUAAAGCGUGUGUAGGUGGAUCGGUAAGUACCUUGUGAAAUCCCACGACUCAAUCGUGGAACUGCUUGGUAUACUGCCAGUCUUGAGGCACUCAGGGGCGAGCGGAACAGAUGGUGGAGCGGUGAAAUGCGUAGAUAUCAUCUGGAACGCCAAUGGUGAAGACAGCUCGCUGGGGGGUGUUCUGACACUGAGACACGAAAGCCAGGGGAGCAAACGGG